AUUCCUGUAGAGCAAUGGAUAGCGUGUUGGAUUUCUAAUCCAACCAGGUGGGUUCAAAUCCCACCUGGGAUG